CCCUUAGAUGUUCUGGGCCGCACGCGUGCUACACUGAGUGGAUCAGCGGGUCAGGUUGCGCGAAAGCGUUUCCUAAUCUUUAAAUCCGCUCGUGAUGGGGAUUGACGGUUGCAAUUUUCUGUCAUGAACGAGGAAUACCUUGUAAGCGCGGGUCAUCAUCCCGAGCUGAAUACGUCCCUGCCCUUUGUACACACCGCCCGUCGCUCCUACCGAUUGAGUGGUCCGGUGAGGCUUUGGGAUCUGAGCGGAAAGAGCGUUUCGCUGUUUCUGCUCGGAAAACUCAGUCGAACCUUAUCAUUUAGAGGAAGGAGAAGUCGUAACA
rnacentral:rRNA from 1 species